UACAGAGGGUGCAAGCGUUAAUCGGAAUUACUGGGCGUAAAGGGUGUGUAGGCGGUUAGGUAAGUUAGAUGUGAAAUCCCCGGGCUCAACCUGGGAAUUGCGUUUAAAACUGUUUAACUAGAGUAUUGUAGAGGAUAGUGGAAUUUCCAGUGUAGCGGUGAAAUGCGUAGAUAUUGGAAGGAACACCAGUGGCGAAGGCGACUAUCUGGGCAAAUACUGACGCUGAGACACGAGAGCAUGGGGAGCAAACAGG
rnacentral:rRNA from 1 species